CUGUCUCUUGCUUCAACAGUGUUUGGACGAAACAG
rfam:Pteropus alecto contig34105, whole genome shotgun sequence.